rnacentral:rRNA from 1 species
UGGGGAAUCUUGCGCAAUGGACGAAAGUCUGACGCAGCCACGCCGCGUGAGUGAAGAAGGCCUUCGGGUUGUAAAGCUCUGUCGGGCGGGACGAAAAUGCUUGAGGUGAAUAGCCUCAGGUACUGACGGUACCGCCAAAGGAAGCACCGGCUAACUUCGUGCCAGCAGCCGCGGUAAUACGAGGGGUGCGAGCGUUGCUCGGAAUUAUUGGGCGUAAAGGGUAGGUAGGUGGUCUCAUUUGUCUGGGGUGAAAGCCUUGAGCUUAACUCAAGAAGUGCCUUGGAAACGGUGAGACUGGAGUCCUGGAGAGGGUCGUGGAAUUCCCGGUGUAGCGGUGAAAUGCGUAGAGAUCGGGAGGAACACCAGCGGCGAAGGCGGCGACCUGGACAGGUACUGACACUCAACUACGAAAGCGUGGGGAGCAAACAG